GUGAUUUUUGAUGUCUUUACAUAUUUUUCAAAAGAAAAUAAUAAUCGAGAGUUUCUUUAUUAUUAAUACACGAUUCAAUUAUUCAUUUGCUGACAAACUUAUACUAGUAUAUAUUUUAUAAUAUAUUUUGAAUUUCACGGGCAACCGCAGAGGUUGGUGGAGCAUUUGCCUUAGCACUUUUGUCUACAAUAGUACCUGCGCAAACGGUGAAACGACAGCCAUAUUUUUUCAUAAUUAUUUGCUGCGACAUACGCUACGCUACUUUUGUGUUGAUGUUGAAUCAGUCGAGCUACGUGCUUGCUUCACUCAACGUUUUUAAUUUCUUUUAGGUUAUUAUUAAUUUUUUUUUACUUGUAUAAUGACGGAAAUUGUUAUAAAUAAAUUUAAAUUGUUAAAUUAAACAAUAAAAAAAUUAUGGAGUUAGUACUAAUCUCUUGGCUUACUGAGAACGAAACUACCUAUGUGUUUGUGGCCACCAAAAAAAGAUGAAGACAAAAGGUGAAUAAAUGGGUUGAACUUGAAAUCGUGCCUUUCAUGAGAUGGUUAAAAUAACCAAUCAGAUUAUCAGCUAAGCUAAGGAUUAUAAUCAAGGAUCACGCCGAUUAAAAAAUCCUUUAAAACAAAUGAUGUUGAGAGCACUGAGCACUCUCAGAUCAUUGAUCUAAAUACUGAGCCUAUGCUCUUGUAGUAAUUCCUUCCAACGACAAUUUAGAAGGAACCUGAUAAGAGCGAUGAAGCUGCGUGUAAAAGUAUAAUGGAACCUAAAGGCAUCACAAACUACCUACGAACAUCUUGCGAAAUAUUUGCAGCGUAUUAUUUGCACUGAAAUGUCUAAAGUAAAAAAAAAAAGCGUCAAUUACACCAUUGGACAACAAGUUAAAAAAAUAUUAGAAGACGUCCAGCAGUCAGGAGAUGCACCGAGUAAACAAAGAGCUUGGAAUAUUAUCGGUGACGCCUUGCCA
rnacentral:misc_RNA from 1 species